GAUCAUGGCUCAGGAUGAACGCUAGCGGCAGGCUUAACACAUGCAAGUCGAAGGGCAUCGAGGGAAGUGCUUGCACUUUCNGUCGGCGACUGGCGCACGGGUGAGUAACGCGUAUCCAACCUGCCCACACUUGGGGAUAACCUUGCGAAAGUAAGACUAAUUACCCCAAUGAUAUCCCACGAAGGCAUCCGAAUGGGGAUUUAAAGAUUUUAUCGGGUGAUGGAUGGGGGAUGCGUCUGAUUAGCUUGUUGGCGGGUAACGGCCCACCAAGGCAACGAUCAGUAGGGGUUCUGGGAGGAAGGUCCCCCACAUUGGAACUGAGACACGGUCCAAACUCCUACGGGAGGCAGCAGUGAGGAAUAUUGGUCAAUGGACGGAAGUCUGAACCAGCCAAGUAGCGUGCAGGACGACGGCCCUAUGGGUUGUAAACUGCUUUUAUACGGGGAUAAAGUGGGCCACGUGUGGCUUAUUGCAGGUACCAUAUGAAUAAGGACCGGCUAAUUCCGUG
rnacentral:rRNA from 1 species